AGAGAGAGACAUGCGCGCAUAUCAAUAAGCGGAGGAAAAGAAACUAACAAGGAUUCCCUUAGUAACGGCGAGUGAAGCGGGAAGAGCUCAAAUUUGAAAUCUUCAAGGUUUUACCUUGACGAAUUGUAGUUUAAAGAAGUGUUUUCUGCUGAAGUUUUGGUAAAAGUUCUUUGGAAUAGGACAUCAUAGAGGGUGAGAAUCCCGUAUUUGACCAUUAUUUUCAGCUUUGUGAUACACUUUCAAAGAGUCGGAUUGUUUGGGAAUGCAGUCCAAAAUGGGUGGUAAAUUUCAUCUAAAGCUAAAUAUUGGCGAGAGACCGAUAGCGAACAAGUACCGUGAGGGAGAGAUGAAAAGAACUUUGAAAAGAGAGUUAAACAGUACGUGAAAUUGUCAAAAGGGAAGCGUUUGACACCAGUGUUGUUUUCUCGAAAAUCAAUUAAAAAUGGCUCGAUUUUGUAUUGCUUGAGACCUUAAAAGCUCACUGUACAUUUUUCGUGUCUUUUUUAAUGCACUUUUCGUUUAACAAGUCAACAUCAGUUUCUUUUGUUGUAAAAGGGUCAUUGGAAGGUGGCUUUCUUUUCGGAGAAAGUGUUUAUAGCCUUUGGCCUCUGCAAUCGAAGAGACUGAGGUCUGCAGCGUAGACUCUUCGGGGUUAGAUACAUUUGUGCUAAGUUAUAGCUUUUUAUAGACAACUUGUUGACUAUAAUUAGUCUUGUAGCUUACUCGCUUAUGCUAUUUUACCUACGCUUAGGAUGUUGAGUCGUAGAGCACGCAG
rnacentral:rRNA from 1 species